rnacentral:rRNA from 1 species
UACGAAGGGGGCUAGCGUUGCUCGGAAUCACUGGGCGUAAAGGGUGCGUAGGCGGGUUUUUAAGUCAGGGGUGAAAUCCUGGAGCUCAACUCCAGAACUGCCUUUGAUACUGAAGAUCUUGAGUCCGGGAGAGGUGAGUGGAACUGCGAGUGUAGAGGUGAAAUUCGUAGAUAUUCGCAAGAACACCAGUGGCGAAGGCGGCUCACUGGCCCGGUACUGACGCUGAGGUGCGAAAGCGUGGGGAGCAACAGGG